rnacentral:lncRNA from 1 species
GCCAGAACUCUCAACGGAGGCUGCAGAUGGCGUGCUUCCUCCCUGGGCCCAGAAUGUGCGUCAUCAACGUCUCUGUGCAUGUCUGUCGUAGUGUGGCUCCAUCUCCACAACGCGUCCUCGAACAGCUGCUUGCAGCUUUUGUCAGAUGAGACCAUCGACUCUUCUGCAAGAGUCUCUGCCAACCUGCAAGGCCACCAUCUGUUGUGGAGGCUGGGUGAAAACGUGGAGGAUGGGGCAGUACGCCACCGUGUAGCGUUGGUGAAGCCCUGAGCGCCUGCUAGAGACAAGGAGGAGCCUCUCCUGCUGCC